AUACCUUUCUUGGUUUUUUGGCUAAGAUCAAGUGUAGUAUAUGUUUUUUAAGAUUUUAAAGUGUAGUAUAUGUUGUUAUUUGUUUAAUGAUUUUCACGAUAAUAAAUUAAUUUUUUUAUGGGUGUGUUAUCCUUGUGUUGCACUACAUAGUUUGAUGCACCCUAC
rnacentral:snRNA from 1 species